GACGAACCGUGCAAACGUUAUUCGGAAUCACUGGGCUUAAAGCGUGCGUAGGCGGCUCAGAAAGUUGGGUGUGAAAUCCCUCGGCUCAACCGAGGAAUGGCGCCCAAAACUACUGAGCUUGAGGGAGUUAGAGGAGAGCGGAACUCACGGUGGAGCGGUGAAAUGCGUUGAUAUCGUGAGGAACACCGGUGGCGAAAGCGGCUCUCUGGGGCUCUUCUGACGCUCAGGCACGAAAGCUAGGGGAGCAAACGGG
rnacentral:misc_RNA from 1 species